GUCCGCAAUAACCUUUUUGGCCCUGUUAUCACACCAUCCUGUCCUGCCAAGACACACUGUCUUCAGGAGAGUUUAAGAAGGUGCAGAAGAUCUCCCUCACAUUACAGGCCUCUCUUGAUGCCCUGUUUCCUCCCAUGUUUCUUACUGGUGCCAUGUGUCUCCCCAGCUGCUCUUCCUCAUCCAGCAACCUCUGGUUUUCGCUAGGGGCAAGCAGGAAGUUGUGAAGGAUGCAUGCAGCCACCACAAAUGUGUCCACAUUUUGAGGGUGCAGGUUGAUUUUGCCAUGAAAUAUUCUCCACCUGGAGGCCAGAUUGCCAAAGGCAUUUUCCACCACCAUCCUUGCUUCUGUAGUUGAAAAUCCUCAUCAAGUAUGGCUUGAGUGGGAAAAUUGCAUCACCCACCACGACGAAUGGCAGAUCACCCAGUUGACGUUUGCAAGGUGAGAUGAAAAGCAUUAAGGGAUGCUUUUGUGAAAAACG